rnacentral:rRNA from 1 species
GACAGCAGUCGCCGCGGUAAUACAGAGGGUGCGAGCGUUAAUCGGAUUUACUGGGCGUAAAGCGUGCGUAGGCGGCUUUUUAAGUCGGAUGUGAAAUCCCUGAGCUUAACUUAGGAAUUGCAUUCGAUACUGGGAAGCUAGAGUAUGGGAGAGGAUGGUAGAAUUCCAGGUGUAGCGGUGAAAUGCGUAGAGAUCUGGAGGAAUACCGAUGGCGAAGGCAGCCAUCUGGCCUAAUACUGACGCUGAGGUACGAAAGCAUGGGGAGCAAACAGGAUUAGAUACCCCUGUAGUCCCUGUCUCUUAUAC